rnacentral:rRNA from 1 species
UACGUAGGGUGCAAGCGUUAAUCGGAAUUACUGGGCGUAAAGCGUGCGCAGGCGGUUGUGCAAGACAGAUGUGAAAUCCCCGGGCUCAACCUGGGAACUGCAUUUGUGACUGCACGGCUGGAGUGCGGCAGAGGGGGAUGGAAUUUCGCGUGUAGCAGUGAAAUGCGUAGAUAUGCGGAGGAACACCGAUGGCGAAGGCAAUCCCCUGGGCCUGCACUGACGCUCAUGCACGAAAGCGUGGGGAGCAAACAGG